GAAGAAGAAGAAGAAGGUUAAAUUAAACGUGACCGUGACCAAAACAAAAUAACAAAAACAAAUAUAUAAAUAGGAAUGUCUAUUAAAUAUUAUAUUCCUAGAUAUAAUUAUUCCUUUCAAAAUAUGAAUUCUUCAAUAAUUAAUAAUUAUUUAGAGAGCGAAUGUUAAAUAUAGCAAUAAAAUAUUACAGGUUGAAUAUUUUGUGAUACUUAUUAUUAAGUAAAUGAUAAAUAACCAACAGUUACAGAAAGCAAUGAAAAGCCUCUAGAAUAAUUAACCUAUUUCUAAACAGUUAUAUUUUUAUAGUGGGUAAGAACCUCCAAACGUUCAGUACUUAAUAGAAGAAAUGAAAAUUAUUAACAAAAAGGAAAUACCUCAAGGUGGUUUAAUUUUAGAAGAAAAGCCCUUUGCCUAUAUACUCUGUGAGAAGUUUCGAACUGUUAGGUGUGAUUUCUGUUUUCAAAAACUGCACCAAAAGCACGCCCCUGUAUUAAGAACUCAUAUAUGGUAGAGGUACAUUUACAGGCACAAGGUUUCUCCCCAUGUGAUUUGCUGAUGCCUUGAGUAACUGUAAAAAUCCCCGCUUGUGCUCCCCUACCAAUAUACUUUGAAAAUAUUUGUAAUAUGUGUAAUCUAGUACAAAUAAUUAUAACCAUAAAUAUAUUGAAACUUUAAACACAAGAACUAUUUUUUUC
rnacentral:lncRNA from 1 species